CUAGGAAGCUUUGAAGCUAGACAUUGACUUCUCUCUAGCUAUGAAAGUCCUAGAUGGCAUCUUCUUCCAAUAUAAGAGUAUUUUGUCUACAUUGAAAUAUGUU
rnacentral:miRNA from 1 species